rnacentral:rRNA from 1 species
UGGGGAAUAUUGGACAAUGGGCGAAAGCCUGAUCCAGCAAUACCGCGUGGGUGAUGAAGGCCUUAGGGUUGUAAAGCCCUUUCAGUAGGGAAGAUGAUGACAGUACCUACAAAAGAAGCUCCGGCUAACUUCGUGCCAGCAGCCGCGGUAAUACGAAGGGAGCUAGCGUUGUUCGGAAUUAUUGGGCGUAAAGAGUAUGUAGGCGGCUUAAUAAGUUGGAAGUGAAAGUCCAGAGCUCAACUCUGGGAGUGCUUUCAAAACUAUUAUGCUAGAGUGAGGUAGAGGGCGAUGGAAUUCCUAGUGUAGAGGUAAAAUUCUUAGAUAUUAGGAGGAACACCGAAGGCGAAAGCGAUCGUCUGGGCCUAUACUGACGCUGAGAUACGAAAGCGUGGGGAGCAAACAGG